GUCCACGCCCUAAACUAUGUCUACUAGUUGUUGGGGGAGUUAAAUCCCUUAGUAACGCAGCUAACGCGCGAAGUAGACCGCCUGGGGAGUACGGUCGCAAGAUUAAAACUCAAAGGAAUUGACGGGGGCCCGCACAAGCGGUGGAUGAUGUGGUUCAAUUCGACGCAACGCGAAAAACCUUACCUACCCUUGACAUGUGAGGAACCCUGCAGAGAUGCAGGGGUGCCCGAAAGGGAACCUCAACACAGGUGCUGCAUGGCUGUCGU
rnacentral:rRNA from 1 species